rnacentral:rRNA from 1 species
UGCCAGCAGCCGCGGUAAUACGGAAGGUCCAAGCGUUAAUCGGAAUUACUGGGCGUAAAGCGCGCGUAGGUGGUUUAUUAAGUUGGAUGUGAAAUCCCCGGGCUCAACCUGGGAACUGCAUCCAAAACUGAUUCACUAGAGUACGAUAGAGGGAGGUAGAAUUCACAGUGUAGCGGUGGAAUGCGUAGAUAUUGUGAAGAAUACCAAUGGCGAAGGCAGCCUCCUGGAUCUGUACUGACACUGAGGUGCGAAAGCGUGGGUAGCGAACAGGAUUAGAUACCCUGGUAGUCCACGCCGUAAACGAUGUCAACUAGCUGUUGGGGAACUAUGUUCUUCAGUGGCGCAGCUAACGUAGUAAGUUGACCGCCUGGGGAGUACCGGCCGCAAGGCUAAAACUCAAAUGAAUUGACGGGGACCCGCACAAGCGGUGGAACAUGUGGUUUAAUUCGAUGCAACGCGAAAAACCUUACCUAUACUUGACAUACCUGGAAUGCUUUGUAAUGAAGUAGUGCCUUCGGGAGCCAGGAUACAGGUGCUGCAUGGCUGUCGUCAGCUCGUGUCGUGAGAUGUUCCGUUAAGUCGGAUAACGAGCGCAACCCUUACCCUUAUUUGCCAGCGAUUCGGUCGGGAACUAUAAGGGACUGCCGGUGAUAAACCGGAGGA